GCAUCUGAUCCCCUGGUUGUCCUGUAUAUACCAUGUGACAGCACCCAAGGAGAUCUGCUACAUAUGUUCUCAUCCGUUCACCUUCUCCAAUAACACUAUAGAAAUGGGGUAACAGUGGAACAAUUUCCUCUGCUAUAAUUCCCCUUUAUUUUCCCCUCACCUCAGUUCAUUAUAUUUCCCCAGGAACCACAUUUCUCCCUGCAAAUAAUGCACAACUAUGUUUCAGGCAAGUAAUUUCAUGGACUCAUGCACAGAUCCUUUUUCCUGAAAGGUACAGUUAAUUUAGAACAUACCCUCAAGGACAGCUCUCUGCAGUGGAAGAGAGAAAACAUACGGCUUAAAUUUUCAGCAGCUAAAGUUACAAGAGGAAACAAGACUCACUAUCACUCACCAGUGCAGGAAAGCACAGACAGAGCAUGGAAGUGCAGUAUAAACCUACUGGUUCCUACCUUAAAUGCAGCAUGCUGUAUAGGCAAUUAAAUGUAA